rnacentral:rRNA from 1 species
UACAGAGGUCUCAAGCGUUGUUCGGAUUCAUUGGGCGUAAAGGGUGCGUAGGCGGCGCGGUAAGUCGGGUGUGAAAGUCUCGGGGCUUAACUCCGAAACUGCAUUCGAUACUGCCGUGCUUGAGGACUGGAGAGGAGACUGGAAUUUACGGUGUAGCGGUGAAAUGCGUAGAUAUCGAUAAGGAAGACCAGUGGCGAAGGCGGGUCUCCUGGA